CCAGUUUUGCUCCAAGGACCAAUCCAGAACACGAAGUGGUUGAUGCCAUGCUUCCAAGAAAAGCUUCUAAGCUUCAGGUAACCAGGAACCGUACCCCAAACCGACACAGGUGGUUGGGUAGAGAAUACCAAGGCGCUUGAGAGAACUCGGGUGAAGGAACUAGGCAAAAUGGCACCGUAACUUCGGGAGAAGGUGCGCCGGUGAGGGUGAAGCAUUUACUGCGUAAGCCCAUGCCGGUCGAAGAUACCAGGCCGCUGCGACUGUUUAUUAAAAACACAGCACUCUGCAAACACGAAAGUGGACGUAUAGGGUGUGACGCCUGCCCGGUGCCGGAAGGUUAAUUGAUGGGGUUAGCUAACGCGAAGCUCUUGAUCGAAGCCCCGGUAAACGGCGGCCGUAACAAUAACGGUCCUAAGGUAGCGAAAUUCCUUGUCGGGUAAGUUCCGACCUGCACGAAUGGCGUAACGAUGGCGGCGCUGUCUCCACCCGAGACUCAGUGAAAUUGAAAUCGCUGUGAAGAUGCAGUGUAUCCGCGGCUAGACGGAAAGACCCCGUGAACCUUUACUAUAGCUUUGCACUGGACUUUGAAUUUGCUUGUGUAGGAUAGGUGGGAGGCUUUGAAGCGUGGACGCCAGUUCGCGUGGAGCCAACCUUGAAAUACCACCCUGGCAACUUUGAGGUUCUAACUCAGGUCCGUUAUCCGGAUCGAGGACAGUGUAUGGUGGGUAGUUUGACUGGGGCGGUCUCCUCCUAAAGAGUAACGGAGGAGUACGAAGGUGCGCUCAGACCGGUCGGAAAUCGGUCGUAGAGUAUAAAGGCAAAAGCGCGCUUGACUGCGAGACAGACACGUCGAGCAGGUACGAAAGUAGGUCUUAGUGAUCCGGUGGUUCUGUAUGGAAGGGCCAUCGCUCAACGGAUAAAAGGUACUCCGGGGAUAACAGGCUGAUACCGCCCAAGAGUUCAUAUCGACGGCGGUGUUCGGCACCUCGAUGUCGGCUCAUCACAUCCUGGGGCUGAAGCCGGUCCCAAGGGUAUGGCUGUUCGCCAUUUAAAGUGGUACGCGAGCUGGGUUUAGAACGUCGUGAGACAGUUCGGUCCCUAUCUGCCGUGGACGUUUGAGAUUUGAGAGGGGCUGCUCCUAGUACGAGAGGACCGGAGUGGACGAACCUCUGGUGUUCCGGUUGUCACGCCAGUGGCAUUGCCGGGUAGCUAUGUUCGGAAUAGAUAACCGCUGAAAGCAUCUAAGCGGGAAACUAGCCUCAAGAUGAGAUCUCACUGGGACCUUGAGUCCCCUGAAGGGCCGUCGAAGACUACGACGUUGAUAGGUUGGGUGUGUAAGCGCUGUGAGGCGUUGAGCUAACCAAUACUAAUUGCCCGUGAGGCUUGACC
rnacentral:rRNA from 1 species